GUCCGCGUCGUUUGGUAACUAUUUCGGGAGUUUUUUGAUCGAAUUUUUCGGAAAUGUCGCGAAGUGACAAUGCAAACGAUAUUCGCCGUGUUCUGCAAGCAAAUGAUGGUGAAAUUUUGAGAACUUUUUGCUAGCAAGUGGUAAUGAAAUGAACCGUGAUGAAAGUUCCGACAUUGAUCCAAAUGAUCAACAUUUCGACGUAGUGGCAGUAACAUCAUUGACGAUGCCAUUGUAGUUAAUAAUCCACCGGUAAAUGCGAAUUGAGAUAUUAACAACGCUGGUAAUAACAAUCAGAACAAUGUCGGUGACUCACACGAUGAUGGUGCAAUUUCAGCUCAAGUGGUUUUCAAUUUCAAUCCUGAAUCCUUGAAGUGGUUACAAGAUGAUUUUACUCCUAUUCCUUUCCCCUUUACUGAGAAAACCCAGUUUAUCGUGCAAAUUUUGAUCCAGAAUCUAGAGAGAUACUUACUUACUUAGGUAUCUUUGAGGAAAUAGUGAGUUCUGACAGCCAUACACCAUGCCUACUCCAACACUCACAUGCAGGUGAAUGUAAUGAUUUGACUCUUGUCGGUACCUAUGUCGUAGACAGCUGUCUUCAGGAGGGUUCUCAAACAGUCACAAGUUAUGAGAUAAACUGCUGCAAUAACAAUAAAUCCGUUGAUUGGUUUGUUCGGACCAUCAUGCCACAUCAAUCCUCGUUUCCGUGUUGCCGAAUGUAUGCACCGAAAGAGUCAAAUUCAGGAUUUGUAUGUAGACUGCACUGAAUAGAAAUCACAAUAAGGUAA